rnacentral:rRNA from 1 species
GAUGAACGCUGGCGGCGUGCCUAAUACAUGCAAGUCGAGCGAACAGACGAGGAGCUUGCUCCUCUGACGUUAGCGGCGGACGGGUGAGUAACACGUGGAUAACCUACCUAUAAGACUGGGAUAACUUCGGGAAACCGGAGCUAAUACCGGAUAAUAUAUUGAACCGCAUGGUUCAAUAGUGAAAGACGGUUUUGCUGUCACUUAUAGAUUGAUCCGCGCCGCAUUAGCUAGUUGGUAAGGUAACGGCUUACCAAGGCAACGAUGCGUAGCCGACCUGAGAGGGUGAUCGGCCACACUGGAACUGAGACACGUUCCAGACUCCUACGGGAGGCAGCAGUAGGGAAUCUUCCGCAAUGGGCGAAAGCCUGACGGAGCAACGCCGCGUGAGUGAUGAAGGUCUUCGGAUCGUAAAGCUCUGUUAUUAGGGAAGAACAAAUGUGUAAGUAACUAUGCACGUCUUGACGGUACCUAAUCAGAAAGCCACGGCUAACUACGUG